UACGUAGGGAGCAAGCGUUGUUCGGAUUUACUGGGCGUAAAGGGCGCGUAGGCGGCGCGGUAAGUCACUUGUGAAAUCUCUGAGCUUAACUCAGAACGGCCAAGUGAUACUGCAGUGCUAGAGUGCAGAAGGGGCAAUCGGAAUUCUUGGCGUAGCGGUGAAAUGCGUAGAUAUCAAGAGGAACACCUGAGGUGAAGACGGGUUGCUAGGCUGACACUGACGCUGAGGCGCGAAAGCUAGGGGAGCAAACGGG
rnacentral:rRNA from 1 species